rnacentral:rRNA from 8 species
AACAACGAAGAGUUUGAUCCUGGCUCAGGAUGAACGCUAGCGACAGGCUUAACACAUGCAAGUCGAGGGGCAGCGGGGAGGUAGCAAUACUUCCGCCGGCGACCGGCGCACGGGUGAGUAACACGUAUGGAACCUGCCCGUAGCAGGGGGAUAAGCGGAAGAAAUUCCGUCUAAUACCGCGUAAUAACUCCGAGAGGCAUCUCCUGGGGUUUAAAGGGUAACACCGGCUACGGAUGGCCAUGCGGCGCAUUAGCUAGUUGGCGGGGUAACGGCCCACCAAGGCGACGAUGCGUAGGGGUUCUGAGAGGAAGGUCCCCCACACUGGUACUGAGACACGGACCAGACUCCUACGGGAGGCAGCAGUGAGGAAUAUUGGUCAAUGGGCGCGAGCCUGAACCAGCCAAGUCGCGUGAGGGAAGACGGUCCUAUGGAUUGUAAACCUCUUUUGUCGGGGAGCAAAAGACGCCACGCGUGGCGUUCCGAGAGUACCCGAAGAAAAAGCAUCGGCUAACUCCGUGCCAGCAGCCGCGGUAAUACGGAGGAUGCGAGCGUUAUCCGGAUUUAUUGGGUUUAAAGGGUGCGCAGGCGGAAGAUCAAGUCAGCGGUAAAAUUGAGAGGCUCAACCUCUUCGAGCCGUUGAAACUGGUUUUCUUGAGUGAGCGAGAAGUAUGCGGAAUGCGUGGUGUAGCGGUGAAAUGCAUAGAUAUCACGCAGAACUCCGAUUGCGAAGGCAGCAUACCGGCGCUCAACUGACGCUCAUGCACGAAAGUGUGGGUAUCGAACAGGAUUAGAUACCCUGGUAGUCCACACAGUAAACGAUGAAUACUAAUUGUUCGGGGAGAAUGAUCCCUGAGUGAUACAGCGAAAGCGUUAAGUAUUCCACCUGGGGAGUACGCCGGCAACGGUGAAACUCAAAGGAAUUGACGGGGGCCCGCACAAGCGGAGGAACAUGUGGUUUAAUUCGAUGAUACGCGAGGAACCUUACCCGGGCUCAAACGACACAGGAAUACUUUUGAAAGGAGGUAGCUCUACGGAGCCUGUGUCGAGGUGCUGCAUGGUUGUCGUCAGCUCGUGCCGUGAGGUGUCGGCUUAAGUGCCAUAACGAGCGCAACCCCCAUCGCCAGUUACCAGCAAGUCAAGUUGGGGACUCUGGCGAGACUGCCGGCGCAAGCUGUGAGGAAGGCGGGGAUGACGUCAAAUCAGCACGGCCCUUACGUCCGGGGCGACACACGUGUUACAAUGGCAGGUACAGAGAGAAGCAAUGCGGCGACGCAAAGCGGAACUUGAAAGCCUGUCUCAGUUCGGAUUGGAGUCUGCAACUCGACUCCAUGAAGCUGGAUUCGCUAGUAAUCGCGCAUCAGCCAUGGCGCGGUGAAUACGUUCCCGGGCCUUGUACACACCGCCCGUCAAGCCAUGGAAGCCGGGAGUGCCUGAAGUGUGCAACCGCAAGGAGCGCCCUAAGGUAAAACUGGUGACUGGGGCUAAGUCGUAACAAGGUAGCCGUACCGGAAGGUGCGGCUGGAACACCUCCUUUCU